UUUAGAUCAAAUUAUGAUCUACAAAUUUAAGUACGUUCAUCGAGUGUAUAAUUUUUUGACAUUGGAUCACCAAUUUUCUCUUCUCUCGCACACGGGUAUUUGAUGUGCUUCGUGUGCGUUGUGUAUUUCCCCCGUGUAAGGUUCGAGUUUCACAGCCAAAUUUUCAAUAGGCGGGCAUUUUCAGAAGUUAUUCCUCCCACC
rnacentral:lncRNA from 1 species